UAAUGCUUCUAGGUCAUGUUGAAAUGUGUAAACAAAAAAAACUGAGGGUAUGAUCAGUAGAAUAAUGAUAUGUGCCCAAGAAUUCAUUGUUAGCGUCAUAGUUAUUGGUACUUCUCAAUUCAUGAUUCAGAUCUCAAAUGAUCCCAAUCAGGAAUGCAAAAUUAAAAUUGCACAAAACCGUAUUCAAAUCUUAAAUUCUGAUUCAAUUUCACAAUUCUCGUGAUUUGGAAAAUAAAAUAUGUAGAUAUCAUUUUUCUUUACAUUUUAUAAUUGUUUCCACUCUUCCUUAAUUGCAUUCUCAAUAUCUUCCACCUCAGUCCCUGGCUAUUCUUCUUAUAUUUGUCAACUCUCUCUCUCUCUCCCCCUCCUCUUUUUUCAUUUCCUUUUCUUUCUUUUUUUUCUUUAUUCUUCCUUCUUUAUCCAAAAAAUGAGGAUCACUAAAGCCACCAACAACUGAAUACGCUAGUAGUCAAGUUCUAGUUUAUUUUGGAUUCCUUGGUAUUUAGAAGAUCACAUAGGUAAUAGAAAUUCCACCAUUUUGAAGAUAAUAUAAAGUGUGAAAGCGCCAUAGUUCAGUGAAAGAAAAGUUUUACUUGAUAGGUGAAAUUGUG
rnacentral:misc_RNA from 1 species